UAGGUCACGACCCCGAACUCUCUGGAUCUUCCGCCAAGUUGAUAAACAGAGAUUCGGGGUUUGUUUUUU
rnacentral:antisense_RNA from 1 species